rnacentral:rRNA from 2 species
ACUGCUCAGUAACACGUGGAUAACCUGCCCUUGGGUCCGGCAUAACCCCGGGAAACUGGGGAUAAUUCCGGAUAACGCACAUAUGCUGGAAUGCUUUAUGCGUAAAAUGGAUUCGUCUGCCCAAGGAUGGGUCUGCGGCCUAUCAGGUAGUAGUGGGUGUAAUGUACCUACUAGCCAACAACGGGUACGGGUUGUGAGAGCAAGAGCCCGGAGAUGGAUUCUGAGACAUGAAUCCAGGCCCUACGGGGCGCAGCAGGCGCGAAAACUUUACAAUGCGGGAAACCGUGAUAAGGGGACACCGAGUGCCAGCAUCAUAUGCUGGCUGUCCAGGUGUGUAAACUACACCUGUUAGCAAGGGCCGGGCAAGACCGGUGCCAGCCGCCGCGGUAACACCGGCGGCCCGAGUGGUGAUCGUGAUUAUUGGGUCUAAAGGGUCCGUAGCCGGUUUGGUCAGUCCUCCGGGAAAUCUGAUAGCUCAACUAUUAGGCUUUCGGGGGAUACUGCCAGGCUUGGAACCGGGAGAGGUAAGAGGUACUACAGGGGUAGGAGUGAAAUCUUGUAAUCCCUGUGGGACCACCUGUGGCGAAGGCGUCUUACCAGAACGGGUUCGACGGUGAGGGACGAAAGCUGGGGGCACGAACCGGAUUAGAUACCCGGGUAGUCCCAGCCGUAAACGAUGCUCGCUAGGUGUCAGGCAUGGCGCGACCGUGUCUGGUGCCGCAGGGAAGCCGUGAAGCGAGCCACCUGGGAAGUACGGCCGCAAGGCUGAAACUUAAAGGAAUUGGCGGGGGAGCAC